CGAAAGAUUGAUCUAGUUACUUAUUAGGAUGAUAUUUAAAAUAAUAUUAAUAAUAAUAAUAAUAAUAUAAUUAAUAAUUAUAAUAUUAUAUAUAUAUAUUAAUAUAUUAAUAUAAAUAAAUUGAUUAAAAAUAAAAUCCAAAUAUAAUAAAAAUAAUGAUAUAAAUUAUCUUUCAAUAAAUAAUAAAGAUUAUAAUAAUAUAUAAAUAUAUUAUAUAUAUUUAUAUAUAUUAUUAUAUAUAUAAUAGUCUUAACAAAUAAUUGUGCCAGCAGUUGCGGUCAUACAAUGAAGGCUAGCGUUAAUCAUAAUGGUUUAAAGAAUCCGUAGAAUUAAAUAAUAAAUAAUUUUAGAGUUAAUUAGUAAUAAUUAUAAGAAUUAUAAUAGUAAAGAUGAAAUAAUAAUAAUAAUUAUAAGACUGGUAUAUGUGAAAAUAUUAAUUAAUAAUUAACUGACAUUGAGGGAUGAAAACUAAAGUAGCAAAACAGAUUCGAUACCUGAGUAGUUUUAGUUGUAAACUAUGAAUACUUUCUAAUUAUUAAAUUAAAUAAUUAAGAAAAAUGAAAAUAUAAGUAUUCCACCUGAAGAGUAUAUUAGCAAUAAUGAAACUCAAGACAAUAGACGGUUACAGACUUAAGUAGUGGAGUAC
rnacentral:rRNA from 1 species